UUGCUCCUUGAUUCAGCGGCGGACGGGUGAGUAAUGCCUAGGAAUCUGCCUGGUAGUGGGGGACAACGUUUCGAAAGGAACGCUAAUACCGCAUACGUCCUACGGGAGAAAGCAGGGGACCUUCGGGCCUUGCGCUAUCAGAUGAGCCUAGGUCGGAUUAGCUAGUUGGUGGGGUAAUGGCUCACCAAGGCGACGAUCCGUAACUGGUCUGAGAGGAUGAUCAGUCACACUGGAACUGAGACACGGUCCAGACUCCUACGGGAGGCAGCAGUGGGGAAUAUUGGACAAUGGGCGAAAGCCUGAUCCAGCCAUGCCGCGUGUGUGAAGAAGGUCUUCGGAUUGUAAAGCACUUUAAGUUGGGAGGAAGGGCAGUAAGUUAAUACCUUGCUGUUUUGACGUUACCGACAGAAUAAGCACCGGCUAACUCUGUG
rnacentral:rRNA from 1 species